rnacentral:rRNA from 1 species
AAGUCCCAGUUCGGAUUGAAGGCUGAAAUUCGCCUUCAUGAAGCCGGAAUUGCUAGUAAUGGCAGGUCAGCAUACUGCCGUGAAUACGUUCCCGGGCCUUGUACACACCGCCCGUCACACCAUGAGAGUUGGGAAUACCCGAAGCCUGUGAGCUAACUUUUAGAGGCAGCAGUCGAAGGUAGAAUCAAUGAUUGGGGUGAAGUCGUAACAAGGUAAC